GUGCUUGCUUUGGCAGUACACAUAAAAACAUUUAAAUGACAUAGAAUAAAUACCCUGGCCCCUGCACAAAGACGACACCCAAGUCCAUGAUGGUCUCAUAUUCAU
ensembl:snRNA U6 U6 spliceosomal RNA